GCCUCUAUAGCUCAGUGGUAGAUCACUGGUCUCGUAAACCAGGGUUCGUGAGUUCAAUCCUCACCGGAGGCA
rfam:Ciona savignyi cont_56724, whole genome shotgun sequence.